rnacentral:rRNA from 1 species
UCUUACGGCCAUACCACCCUGAGCACGCCGGAUCUCGUCUGAUCUCAGAAGCUAAACAUGGUCGGGCCUGGUUAGUACUUGGAUGGGAGACCGCCUGGGAAUACCAGGUGCUGUAAACU